rnacentral:rRNA from 1 species
GACGUAGGGCGCGAGCGUUGUCCGGAUUUAUUGGGCGUAAAGAGCUCGUAGGCGGCUCAUCGCGUCUGCCGUGAAAACCUGUGGCUCAACUACAGGCUUGCGGUUGAUACGGGUGGGCUGGAGUUCGGUAGGGGAGACUGGAAUUCCUGGUGUAGCGGUGAAAUGCGCAGAUAUCAGGAGGAACACCGGUGGCGAAGGCGGGUCUCUGGGCAGUAACUGACGCUGAGGAGCGAAAGCGUGGGGAGCGAACAGG